rnacentral:rRNA from 1 species
GACGAAGGUGGCUAGCGUUGCUCGGAUUUACUGGGCAUAAAGCGCGCGUAGGUGGUCCUGUAAGCGAGAGAUGAAAGCCCAUGGCUCACCCAUGGAACUGCCCCUCGGACUGCAGGGCUGGAGGGCGGGAGGGGAGAAUGGAAUUCCCGGUGUAGCGGUGAAAUGCGUAGAUAUCGGGAGGAACGCCGGUGGCGAAAGCGAUUCUCUGGUCCGUUCCUGACACUGAGGCGCGAAAGCUAGGGGAGCAAACAGG